rnacentral:rRNA from 1 species
GAUGAACGCUAGCGGGAGGCUUAAUACAUGCAAGUCGAGCGGUAAGGUUUCUUCGGAAAUACACGAGCGGCGGACGGGUGAGUAACGCGUACGCAAUUUACCUCUAUCAGGAAGAUAGCCCCGGGAAACUGGGAUUAAUACUCCAUAACAUCAUACGAAGGCAUCUGAGAAUGAUUAAAGCUCCGGCGGAUAGAGAUAAGCGUGCGUCCCAUUAGUUAGUUGGUGAGGUAACGGCUCACCAAGACGUCGAUGGGUAGCUGGUCUGAGAGGAUGAUCAGCCACACUGGGACUGAGACACGGCCCAGACUCCUACGGGAGGCAGCAGUAGGGAAUAUUGGACAAUGGGGGAAACCCUGAUCCAGCCAUCCCGCGUGCAGGAAUAAGGCCCUACGGGUUGUAAACUGCUUUUCUCUGGAAAGAAACCUUAGGAUUUAUCUUAAGCUGACGGUACCAGAGGAAUAAGCACCGGCUAACUCCG